GCUACCAUAGCACAGAGUAAAAUUGGAAGGAUGCCAAGAUGAUUAGCAUGGCCCCUGUAUCAGGAUGACAUGGAUGUGUGAUACAUUCUAUAUUUUU
rnacentral:snRNA from 1 species